rnacentral:rRNA from 1 species
UACGUAGGGGGGCUAGCGUUGUCCGGAUUUACUGGGCGUAAAGCGCGCGUAGGCGGCUUUGCAAGUCGGGUGUGAAAUCCCCAGGCUUAACCUGGGAACUGCAUUCGAGACUGCAUUGCUAGAGUAUGGGAGAGGGAAGUGGAAUUUCCGGUGUAGCGGUGAAAUGCGUAGAUAUCGGAAGGAACAUCAGUGGCGAAAGUGACUUCCUGGACCAAUACUGACGCUCAUGUGCGAAAGCGUGGGGAGCAAACAGG